GCGAACGCUGGCGGCAGGCCUAAUACAUGCAAGUCGAGCGGCCCUUCGGGGCAGCGGCGGACGGGUGAGUAACGCGUGGGAACGUGCCCUUUGGUACGGAACAACUGAGGGAAACUUCAGCUAAUACCGUAUGUGCCCUUCGGGGGAAAGAUUUAUCGCCAUUGGAGCGGCCCGCGUUAGAUUAGCUAGUUGGUAGGGUAAUGGCCUACCAAGGCGACGAUCUAUAGCUGGUCUGAGAGGAUGAUCAGCCACACUGGGACUGAGACACGGCCCAGACUCCUACGGGAGGCAGCAGUAGGGAAUCUUGCGCAAUGGGCGAAAGCCUGACGCAGCCAUGCCGCGUGAAUGAUGAAGGUCUUAGGAUUGUAAAAUUCCUUCACCGGGGACGAUAAUGACGGUACCCGGAGAAGAAGCCCCGGCUAACUUCGUGCCAGCCGCCGCGGUAAAAC
rnacentral:rRNA from 1 species